CACCCCAUAACAUAUUUAGGCCGCAUGUCUUUAUAUUAAAGGUUACGGUACAAGAUGAGUAUGCGUCCUAUUAGCUAGUUGGUAUGGUAACGGCAUACCAAGGCAACGAUAGGUAGGGGCCCUGAGAGGGGGAUCCCCCACACUGGUACUGAGACACGGACCAGACUCCUACGGGAGGCAGCAGUGAGGAAUAUUGGACAAUGGGGGGAACCCUGAUCCAGCCAUGCCGCGUGCAGGAAGACUGCCCUAUGGGUUGUAAACUGCUUUUGUACGGGAAGAAACCGCUCUACGCGUAGAGCCUUGACGGUACCGUAAGAAUAAGCAUCGGCUAACUCCGUGCCAGCAGCCGCGGUAAUACGGAGGAUGCAAGCGUUAUCCGGAAUCAUUGGGUUUAAAGGGUCCGUAGUGGGCCGGUCAGUCAGAGGUGAAAUCCUGCAGCUCAACUGUAGAACUGCCUUUGAUACUGCCGGUCUUGAAUCG
rnacentral:rRNA from 1 species